AGUCUGGUGCCAGCACCCGCGGUAAUUCCAGCUCCAAGAGCGUAUAUUAAUACUGCUGUAGUUAAAACGCCCGUAGGAUACCUAAGAGUGGGCAUGUAGUAAUUAGUUUUGUCAGAGGAUGAUUGACGAGAGUUUAUCACUCUUGUUCGUCUACCUUUGAUAGACUUUAGUCGGGCUGGAUCUUCGGUCCACGUCUGACAGAUGCUGCGUGUUUACUUACCACGGUUUAUCCGUGAGGCCCUUGGCUUGCAACUGUAAAUAAAUCGUUGUGCUUAAAGCGGGCUAUGAUACUCUGCCAGAGCGAUUUAGCAUGGGACUGCAGAGUAGCUGUAUUUGAGUGAAGGUUGUAUUUCGGUAUGACUGGAUCUUGGUACAGCGCUUGUAAUGGAGCUCAGGGUGAGGCCCCGGGUACCAUGAGGCUAGAGGUGAAAUUCUGAGACCCUCAUGUGACCAACUAAGGCGAAAGCUGUCGUGGGCCACCACAAGCUCGUCUAUCAGGGACGAAAGUUGGGGGAUCGAAGACGAUUAGAUACCGUCGUAGUCCCAACUAUAAACGAUACCAACCGAGUAUUUGGGAAGACACUAUCCCAGCGAUCUUCUCAGAACUCAAGGGAAACCUUAAGUCUUUGGGUUCUGGGGGGAGUAUAGUCGCAAGACCGAAACUUAAAGGAAUUGACGGAAAGGCACCACCAGGAGUGGAGUCUGCGGCUUAAUUCGACUCAACACGGGGAAACUCACCAGGUCAGGACACAAGUUUGAUUGACAGGUUAAUAGCCCUUUCUUGAUUGUGUGGUGGGUAGUGCAUGGCCGUUUCCAGUUCGUGGAGUGAUCUGUCUUGUUAAUUCAGAUAACGAACGAGACCUAAGCCUUUAACUAGCCGUAGGCCUUUUCCUUCGGGGAAAGGUUUAGUUUGUCGGGACAGGUUCUGCCUGUUCCUAAACCUACGAGACUUUUGUCAGCUUCUUAAAGGGACUUCAUUCGUAAACUAGGAUGAGGAAGAUUUAGGCCAUAACAGGUCUGUGAUGCUCUUAGAUGUCCUGGGCUGCACGCGUACUACAAUAACGGUACCAGCGAGCGCUAUGGUUUUAUAACCCCUUAUCCUAAUAGGAUUGGGAAAACUUUUCAAACACCGUUAUGACAGGGAUCGAGGAUUGGAACAUCCUCGUGAACGAGGAAUUCCUAGUAAGCGUGGUUCAUCAUACCACAUUGAUUACGUCCCUGCCUUUUGUACACACCGCCCGUCGCUCCUACCGAUGGGACGAAGAGAUGAACCUGGCGGACCGAACCGCAAGGUAAGGGAAACCAGUUAAAUCUCUUCGUCUGUAGGAAGGAAAAGUCGUAA
rnacentral:rRNA from 1 species